rnacentral:rRNA from 1 species
CACGUAGGGUGCGAGCGUUGUCCGGAAUUAUUGGGCGUAAAGAGCUCGUAGGCGGUGUGUCGCUUCGGCCGUGAAAACCUGCAGCUUAACUGUGGGCUUGCGGUCGAUACGGGCAUCACUGGAGUUCGGCAGGGGAGACUGGAAUUCCUGGUGUAGCGGUGAAAUGCGCAGAUAUCAGGAGGAACACCGGUGGCGAAGGCGGGUCUCUGGGCCGAUACUGACGCUGAGGAGCGAAAGCGUGGGGAGCGAACAGG